rnacentral:lncRNA from 1 species
AUUUUGAAGAAGAGAAGAAAUGAAGCAUUUUUGGUUGGAGGGAGGGAACAGGGUUUGGCUUGCUGACAUUUCUUUUGUUGUGAUGUUGUAUAGGUCUCGCUUGACUGCGAAAAGGAGAAAGGAGGAGCGUGUGCAGGGAGGUCAGGUCCUGCCAGGGCUUCCUGGGAAAUGAGGAGAAAUGAAGAGGGUAAGAUAACCAAGGUCAGCACCUCACUUCAAGCUGCCAGUUGGGCUCCUCCUGGGGAAGAGAACUGCAUGUUUUUAAGAAAAUCACACUUCAGCAGAAGUCUGCCUUCAACAACACGCCAGAGCACUGUGUGAUGCCAAGGAAAUCAUUUGCUGCAGAGCCCCAAUACUGCAAUCCUUGUUUUUCCUGGGAUAUCUCCCAUGGACCUUCUGGCUGAUUUUUCUCUCAUGAGAUCUAACAUGAUCAUCGUCUGUUGUGAGGCAUUCGAGCUCAACAUGAUCGAGCCUGGUGGUUGCUGGGAUGGUUCAACAGGCACUUCCAGGUGCCAUCUGUACACAAGGACGUUGGUGAUGCAGCAAAUGGCUGUUUUCACAGGGCUGUUGGACUUGCCUUUUGAUGAUCACUUAGGAUCGUAAAGCCUUUGUACAUUCACAUUUAUCUUUGUGUUGGCUGCAUUUCAACUCACUUUCUUCCCUGUGAACAAGUUCUAUUCUGUUGAAUAAACCGUUCCUCGCAAACCA